rnacentral:rRNA from 1 species
AUUGAACGCUGGCGGCAGGCCUAACACAUGCAAGUCGAGCGGAUGAAGGGAGCUUGCCCUUGCAUUCAGCGGCGGACGGGUGAGUAAUGCCUAGGAAUCUGCCUGGUAGUGGGGGAUAACGUCCGGAAACGGGCGCUAAUACCGCAUACGUCCUGAGGGAGAAAGUGGGGGAUCUUCGGACCUCACGCUAUCAGAUGAGCCUAGGUCGGAUUAGCUAGUUGGUGGGGUAAAGGCCUACCAAGGCGACGAUCCGUAACUGGUCUGAGAGGAUGAUCAGUCACACUGGAACUGAGACACGGUCCAGACUCCUACGGGAGGCAGCAGUGGGGAAUAUUGGACAAAGGGCGAAAGCCUGAUCCAGCCAUGCCGCGUGUGUGAAGAAGGUCUUCGGAUUGUAAAGCACUUUAAGUUGGGAGGAAGGGCAGUAAGUUAAUACCUUGCUGUUUUGACGUUACCAACAGAAUAAGCACCGGCUAACUUCGUG